AAAAAAAGUGUGCUAUUUGUCCCAUUGGGGAACUGAAGAAAAGAGCAAGAAACUGGCAGAGAGAAAAGGCUUUGAAUAGAAAACAAUGAAGAAAUUGAGAUGACUUGCAUAUGCCUCUGCGGAAGAAUAAGAGAUGCAAGUCCGUCUGGAGGGAGCAUGCAUCCCAAGCAGCAGGAGAGGCAUCUGGAAGCUCCUUCCCAGAGAACCAACACUCAGCAUCGCAUCACAAGCUGCCACAACUUUGAACUGUGUCUAGAUGGAUAAAGAUAUAUCUGAGAAGGAACUUAACAUUAUGAUGAAAUGAAUCUGAUCCAGCAUAUUUUCCUCUCAUCAAGACUAGAAGGAAGUGCUGACCUCAGAAUUCAUCCCAACCCACCAACUCAAUGCUACAGAAGGGGUUUGGAGUAAAAUGGCAGACUGUAUGUGGGUUGAUACCACCAGAAAGCUGUAACACUUGGGGCCAGGCAAUUUUGCCCAUUAUGGGACUCACACAGUUCACAUAACAUAGAAGGAAACUCAACUCAUGGAAACAUCUUUGCCUCAUGGAAUCAACAGAUCUUUACCAUGCGGUCCAACUGAGUACACUACAUUUAGCAAAACCCCCCCACUACAGCGAUGGGUUUCUAGAUCUAGAAUG